rnacentral:rRNA from 1 species
ACUAGGAUUAGAUACCCUAUUAUUUAGAAUAUAAAUUUUGUUUCCAGAUUAGUAUUAGUUAUGUUCUUGAAAAUUAAAGAUUUUGGCGGUAUUUUAUUCUAAUCAGAGGAACCUGUCCUGUAAUCGAUAGUCCACGAGAAAUUCUAUUUUUUCUUAGUUUGCAUAUCGUCGUAGUUUGAAUAUUUUAUAAGAAAGUAAAUGUUCACGAUUUUUAUUAAAAAGGAAAUCAGAUCAAGGUGUAGCUUAUGGAAAAGUUAGUGAUGGGUUACAUUAUUAAUAUUUAUGGAAUUGUUUUUUGAAAUGAAAUCAUGAAUUCGGAUUUGAUUGUAAUUUUAAUAAUUUAUUAAUAUGAAAGAAGCUCUAAAAUAUGCACACAUGGCC